UAGUACGUUCGCGACUGCACAAGAAGCAUUUAGUAUUGAAAAAAUCGCGCGGUGAUUGUGAAUAAUAUUAAACUAACUCUAAUAAUUCAUUUUAAUUCGUUUGUUUUAUUUAAAAAUAAAUAAAAAUAAUUCAUAUUUAAUUUGCUAAGCAUUGUUAAUAAUGCCAAAUCCAUCUAACGGCUUUUAUCCCUUUUUUAAGAGAAGGUGUCUACAAGUAGCCACAAAUGUAACAGAACAAAAACAUCAUGUAACGAGAGAAAUAAGAGGAAAGAAUUUAGGUUUAUGUCGAGGGUUUCGAGGAUGCACUGUUUGGUUAACCGGACUGAGUGGUGCUGGCAAAACUUCAAUUGCCUUUGAAUUAGAGGCUUAUCUAGUGUCACGUGGCAUUCCUGCAUACGGUCUUGAUGGUGAUAAUAUACGCACAGGUUUGAAUAAAAAUCUAGGUUUUACACCGGCAGAUAGAGAGGAAAAUAUACGUCGUGUUGGUGAAGUAGCAAAAUUAUUUGCUGAUAGUGGUGUUGUAGCGAUUUGCAGUUUUGUUUCACCAUUUGCGGAUGACCGUGAAUUAGUGCGGAAAAUACAUAAAGACUCGGAUCUUAAAUUUUAUGAAGUCUAUGUAGAUACACCUUUGUCAGUGUGUGAGACGAGAGAUGUUAAAGGCUUAUAUAAAAAAGCUAGGGAAGGUAUUAUUAAGGGAUUUACUGGUAUAACGCAAGAAUAUGAAGUUCCACAACAUCCAGAAAUAGUAGUAAGCACAGAUGGGUUUACGAUACAGGAAUCUACACAAAAAGUGAUACAUCUACUAGAAGAAGAAGCGAUAAUACCUAAAACCUUACGAGACAUCAAUCAACUUCCUGAACUCUUUAUAGAUUCAAGUCGCACAGAAGCAGCUUUGCACGAAAUAAAAUCUUUAAAAACAAUUCCUAUCACUAAAAUAGAACUGCAAUGGUUGCAAAUAUUAUCAGAAGGUUGGGCAUAUCCUUUAAAAGGAUUUAUGCGCGAACAAGAAUACCUUCAAACUUUGCAUUUUAAUUCCAUAUUAACGGAAGAUGGUGCCUUUCGUGAAAAUCAAUCGGUGCCUAUUGUAUUAUCUGUAUCAGCUGAUGCUAAAGAGAAAUUAGAUGGUGUCUCUGCACUAGCUCUUACUUACAAUGAUAAAGCUAUAGCUAUUCUACGCAAACCUGAAUUUUAUUAUCAUCGAAAAGAAGAACGAUUAUCUCGUCAAUUUGGUACAAGCAAUCCUAAUCAUCCAUAUGCUAAAAUGUGUCUACAAGUAGCCACAAAUGUAACAGAACAAAAACAUCAUGUAACGAGAGAAAUAAGAGGAAAGAAUUUAGGUUUAUGUCGAGGGUUUCGAGGAUGCACUGUUUGGUUAACCGGACUAAGUGGUGCUGGCAAAACUUCAAUUGCCUUUGAAUUAGAGGCUUAUCUAGUGUCACGUGGCAUUCCUGCAUACGGUCUUGAUGGUGAUAAUAUACGCACAGGUUUGAAUAAAAAUCUAGGUUUUACACCGGCAGAUAGAGAGGAAAAUAUACGUCGUGUUGGUGAAGUAGCAAAAUUAUUUGCUGAUAGUGGUGUUGUAGCGAUUUGCAGUUUUGUUUCACCAUUUGCGGAUGACCGUGAAUUAGUGCGGAAAAUACAUAAAGACUCGGAUCUUAAAUUUUAUGAAGUCUAUGUAGAUACACCUUUGUCAGUGUGUGAGACGAGAGAUGUUAAAGGCUUAUAUAAAAAAGCUAGGGAAGGUAUUAUUAAGGGAUUUACUGGUAUAACGCAAGAAUAUGAAGUUCCACAACAUCCAGAAAUAGUAGUAAGCACAGAUGGGUUUACGAUACAGGAAUCUACACAAAAAGUGAUACAUCUACUAGAAGAAGAAGCGAUAAUACCUAAAACCUUACGAGACAUCAAUCAACUUCCUGAACUCUUCAUAGAUUCAAGUCGCACAGAAGCAGCUUUGCACGAAAUAAAAUCUUUAAAAACAAUUCCUAUCACUAAAAUAGAACUGCAAUGGUUGCAAAUAUUAUCAGAAGGUUGGGCAUAUCCUUUAAAAGGAUUUAUGCGCGAACAAGAAUACCUUCAAACUUUGCAUUUUAAUUCCAUAUUAACGGAAGAUGGUGCCUUUCGUGAAAAUCAAUCGGUGCCUAUUGUAUUAUCUGUAUCAGCUGAUGCUAAAGAGAAAUUAGAUGGUGUCUCUGCACUAGCUCUUACUUACAAUGAUAAAGCUAUAGCUAUUCUACGCAAACCUGAAUUUUAUUAUCAUCGAAAAGAAGAACGAUUAUCUCGUCAAUUUGGUACAAGCAAUCCUAAUCAUCCAUAUGCUAAAAUGUGUCUACAAGUAGCCACAAAUGUAACAGAACAAAAACAUCAUGUAACGAGAGAAAUAAGAGGAAAGAAUUUAGGUUUAUGUCGAGGGUUUCGAGGAUGCACUGUUUGGUUAACCGGACUGAGUGGUGCUGGCAAAACUUCAAUUGCCUUUGAAUUAGAGGCUUAUCUAGUGUCACGUGGCAUUCCUGCAUACGGUCUUGAUGGUGAUAAUAUACCACAGGUUUGAAAUAAAAUCUAGGGUUUUUACCCGGCAGAUAGAGAAGGAAUAUACUCGUGUUGGUGAAGUUAGCAAAAAUUUGCUUGAUAGUGGUGUGUAGCGAUUUGCAGUUUUGUUUCACCAUUUGCGGAUGACCGUGAAUUAGUGCGGAAAAUACAUAAAGACUCGGAUCUUAAAUUUUAUGAAGUCUAUGUAGAUACACCUUUGUCAGUGUGUGAGACGAGAGAUGAUAAAGGCUUAUAUAAAAAAGCUAGGGAAGGUAUUAUUAAGGGAUUUACUGGUAUAACGCAAGAAUAUGAAGUUCCACAACAUCCAGAAAUAGUAGUAAGCACAGAUGGGUUUACGAUACAGGAAUCUACACAAAAAGUGAUACAUCUACUAGAAGAAGAAGCGAUAAUACCUAAAACCUUACGAGACAUCAAUCAACUUCCUGAACUCUUUAUAGAUUCAAGUCGCACAGAAGCAGCUUUGCACGAAAUAAAAUCUUUAAAAACAAUUCCUAUCACUAAAAUAGAACUGCAAUGGUUGCAAAUAUUAUCAGAAGGUUGGGCAUAUCCUUUAAAAGGAUUUAUGCGCGAACAAGAAUACCUUCAAACUUUGCAUUUUAAUUCCAUAUUAACGGAAGAUGGUGCCUUUCGUGAAAAUCAAUCGGUGCCUAUUGUAUUAUCUGUAUCAGCUGAUGCUAAAGAGAAAUUAGAUGGUGUCUCUGCACUAGCUCUUACUUACAAUGAUAAAGCUAUAGCUAUUCUACGCAAACCUGAAUUUUAUUAUCAUCGAAAAGAAGAACGAUUAUCUCGUCAAUUUGGUACAAGCAAUCCUAAUCAUCCAUAUGCUAAAAUGUGUCUACAAGUAGCCACAAAUGUAACAGAACAAAAACAUCAUGUAACGAGAGAAAUAAGAGGAAAGAAUUUAGGUUUAUGUCGAGGGUUUCGAGGAUGCACUGUUUGGUUAACCGGACUAAGUGGUGCUGGCAAAACUUCAAUUGCCUUUGAAUUAGAGGCUUAUCUAGUGUCACGUGGCAUUCCUGCAUACGGUCUUGAUGGUGAUAAUAUACGCACAGGUUUGAAUAAAAAUCUAGGUUUUACACCGGCAGAUAGAGAGGAAAAUAUACGUCGUGUUGGUGAAGUAGCAAAAUUAUUUGCUGAUAGUGGUGUUGUAGCGAUUUGCAGUUUUGUUUCACCAUUUGCGGAUGACCGUGAAUUAGUGCGGAAAAUACAUAAAGACUCGGAUCUUAAAUUUUAUGAAGUCUAUGUAGAUACACCUUUGUCAGUGUGUGAGACGAGAGAUGAUAAAGGCUUAUAUAAAAAAGCUAGGGAAGGUAUUAUUAAGGGAUUUACUGGUAUAACGCAAGAAUAUGAAGUUCCACAACAUCCAGAAAUAGUAGUAAGCACAGAUGGGUUUACGAUACAGGAAUCUACACAAAAAGUGAUACAUCUACUAGAAGAAGAAGCGAUAAUACCUAAAACCUUACGAGACAUCAAUCAACUUCCUGAACUCUUCAUAGAUUCAAGUCGCACAGAAGCAGCUUUGCACGAAAUAAAAUCUUUAAAAACAAUUCCUAUCACUAAAAUAGAACUGCAAUGGUUGCAAAUUUUAUCAGAAGGUUGGGCAUAUCCUUUAAAAGGAUUUAUGCGUGAACAAGAAUACCUUCAAACUUUGCAUUUUAAUUCCAUAUUAACGGAAGAUGGUGCCUUCCGUGAAAAUCAAUCGGUGCCUAUUGUAUUAUCUGUAUCAGCUGAUGCUAAAGAGAAAUUAGAUGGUGUCUCUGCACUAGCUCUUACUUACAAUGAUAAAGCUAUAGCUAUUCUACGCAAACCUGAAUUUUAUUAUCAUCGAAAAGAAGAACGAUUAUCUCGUCAAUUUGGUACAAGCAAUCCUAAUCAUCCAUAUGCUAAAAUGGUCUUUGAAUCAGGUGACUAUUUAGUUGGCGGUGAUUUAGAAGUUCUUGAAAGAGUUCGCUGGAAUGAUGGUUUAGAUCAAUAUCGCUUAACUCCAAAUGAGCUGCGACAGAAAUUUGCUGAUAUGCAGGCUGACGCCAUAUUUGCAUUUCAACUAAGAAAUCCUAUACAUAAUGGACACGCAUUGCUCAUGCAAGACACGAAACGUCAACUUCUAGAGCGCGGUUUUAAGAAACCUCUUCUACUUUUACAUCCGUUAGGUGGUUGGACAAAAGAUAAUGAUGUACCACUAGAUGUACGUAUGGCUCAGCACCAAGCUGUACUGGACUCAGGUGUAUUAAAACGUGAAGAUACGAUAUUAGCUAUAUUCCCAUCACCGAUGAUGUAUGCUGGACCAACAGAGGUACAAUGGCAUGCGAAAGCAAGAAUGAAUGCGGGUGCUAACUUUUAUAUUGUUGGACGAGAUCCAGCUGGAAUGCCUCAUCCUGAUAAAGAAAUGUAUCCCGAUGGUAAUUUGUAUGACGGAACGCAUGGUGCGCGUGUACUUAAAAUGGCACAAGGUCUUGACAGCAUGGAAAUUCUACCAUUUCGUGUUGCUGCUUAUGACAAAACUAAUUUGUGCAUGGCAUUUUUUGAGUCACAACGUAAAGAUGAAUUUGAAUUUAUAUCGGGAACUAAAAUGCGCACAUUUGCUAAAACUGGUACUUAUCCACCAGAUGGUUUCAUGGAACCAAAAGCAUGGAAGAUUUUAUCCGAAUAUUAUCAAUCCUUAAUUAAACAAUGAAUUUUCCUAAAUUGUUUUUAUACUAAGAAAUGCGUGCAAUAUUUUCUAUACAAUUCCUUAUCUAAGUUACUUUAUUUGUAUGCAUGUUAAAAUAUUUUAGUACUUUUUAUUUUCAAAUUUAUUUUACAAUUUGUUGUAUUAUAAACGUUUUAAAUUUGUUAAAUCUUAAAUAAUGAAUCGUAUAUUUAUGUCGUAAAAAAAUUAUAAUAAAAAGGAAUAAAACAAUUUUAUUCAUAUUUGC